rnacentral:rRNA from 1 species
AUGGAGGCGGCGGAGAGCCGGCUGGGCCCGGCAUGGAACCGCUCCACCACUCGCUUCCGGUGCUGCAGCUGCUGCACCGCGUGGGACGGCACGAGCGCCUUGCGUGCCCAGUGCCCGCUGCCCAUGGGAACGCGCUGCGCCAGCCCGCUGUAUGAGCGUCUAGAGCAGCCGCUGCCGCCGGGGAAGAGCUGCGCGAACGGGCUCGCCGUGCGCUUCGACGGCGGCGAAGGCGGGGAGGCGGGCCUGGUGCUGCUGACGGCGGGGGCCUCCUGCUUGCGCUCCUUGUGGAGGCUGCAGCGGAACGAGCCCGGGUGGUUUGUUGGGGAACACAUGCAUGACCGACCGAUCUUGGGGGCGCCGCCCACGGGGGAGGAGGGGGGAGACGAGACGCUGACGGACUUGACCGGCGAGCCGGCGACGGAGAGCUUGACACGGGAGAGCGAGGCGGAUUGGUAG